AUUGAACGCUGGCGGCAUGCCUUACACAUGCAAGUCGAACGGUAACAGGUCUUCGGAUGCUGACGAGUGGCGAACGGGUGAGUAAUACAUCGGAACGUGCCUAGUAGUGGGGGAUAACUACUCGAAAGAGUGGCUAAUACCGCAUGAGGUCUACGGAUGAAAGCAGGGGAUCGCAAGACCUUGUGCUACUAGAGCGGCCGAUGGCAGAUUAGGUAGUUGGUGGGAUAAAAGCUUACCAAGCCGACGAUCUGUAGCUGGUCUGAGAGGACGAUCAGACGCAGUGGGACUGAGACACGGGCCAGACUCCUACGGGAGGCAGCAGUGGGAAAUUUUGGACAAUGGGCGAAAGCCUGAUCCAGCAAUGCCGCGUGCAGGAUGAAGGCCUUCGGGUUGUAAACUGCUUUUGUACGGAACGAAAAGCCCCGGGUUAAUACCCUGGGGUCAUGACGGUACCGUAAGAAUAAGCACCGGCUAACUACGUGCCAGCCGCCGCAGUAA
rnacentral:rRNA from 1 species